rnacentral:rRNA from 1 species
AACGAACGCUGGCGGCAGGCUUAACACAUGCAAGUCGAGCGCCUCGUAAGAGGAGCGGCAGACGGGUGAGUAACGCGUGGGAACGUACCCUUAUCUUCGGAAUAGCUCUGGGAAACUGGAAGUAAUACCGAAUGUGCCCUUAGGGGGAAAGAUUUAUCGGAUAAGGAUCGGCCCGCGUGGGAUUAGCUAGUUGGUGGGGUAAAGGCCUACCAAGGCGACGAUCCAUAGCUGGUCUGAGAGGAUGAUCAGCCACAUUGGGACUGAGACACGGCCCAAACUCCUACGGGAGGCAGCAGUGGGGAAUAUUGGACAAUGGGCGCAAGCCUGAUCCAGCCAUGCCGCGUGAGUGAUGAAGGCCUUAGGGUUGUAAAGCUCUUUCACCGGAGAAGAUAAUGACGGUAUCCGGAGAAGAAGCCCCGGCUAACUUCGUG